rnacentral:tRNA from 1 species
GGCUGGAUCACCUCCUUUUGAGCAUGACGUUAUUCGUCCUGUCGGGCGUCCUCACAAAUUACCUGCAUUCAGAGAUUCAUACCGGCACAGGUCGGUAUGCGAAGUCCCUUUUGGGGCCUUAGCUCAGCUGGGAGAGCACCUGCUUUGCAAGCAGGGGGUCGUCGGUUCGAUCCCGACAGGCUCCACCAUAUUGAGUGAAAAGACUUCGGGUCUGUAGCUCAGGUGGUUAGAGCGCACCCCUGAUAAGGGUGAGGUCGGUAGUUCGAGUCUACCCAGACCCACCACUCUGAAUGUAGUGCACACUUAAGAAUUUAUAUGGAUCAGCGUUGAGGCUGAGACAUGUUCUUUUAUAACUUGUGACGUAGCGAGCGUUUGAGAUAUCUAUCUAAACGUGUCGUUGAGGCUAAGGCGGGGACUUCGAGUCCCUAAAUAAUUGAGUCGUAUGUUCGCGUUGGUGGCUUUGUACCCCACACAACACGUACAUGUGCUCCAGGCAACUUGGGGUUAUA